rnacentral:misc_RNA from 1 species
UGAAAAUGGUGUGUUUAUAUAUACCACUUUGAAUCACAUCAAGUACUGCCUUCCGAACGGGGAUAGUGGAAUCAUCCGGACACUUGAUGUUCCAAUAUACAUGACUAAAGUUUCAGGGAGCAACAUCUUUUGCUUAGAUCGUGACGGGAAGAACCGAGUCAUAUCAAUUGAUGCUACCGAGUAUAUGUUCAAGCUGUCUCUUAUGAAGAAAAGAUACGACCAUGUCAUGAGCAUGAUUAAGAGUUCAAAGCUAUGUGGACAGGCUGUAAUUGCCUAUCUGCAACAGAAAGGAUUCCCUGAAGUGGCUCUCCACUUUGUCAAAG